UACGUGGGGUGCAAACGUUGCUCGGAAUCAUUGGGCGUAAAGCGCACGUAGGCGGCUUUUUAAGUCGAAUGUGAAAGCCCUCGGCUUAACCGAGGAAGUGCAUCCGAAACUGAAUGGCUAGAGUCCCAUAGAGGGUCGCGGAAUUCCCGGUGUAGAGGUGAAAUUCGUAGAUAUCGGGAGGAACACCAGUGGCGAAGGCGGCGACCUGGGUGAAGACUGACGCUGAGGUGCGAAAGCGUGGGGAGCAAACAGG
rnacentral:rRNA from 1 species